rnacentral:lncRNA from 1 species
GUGGGAACAUUGUAGGUUAUCAUGUGAUUGUUCCAUGUAAUUCCUGCCUUCUUUCCUGCAACAACGGACACUUCUGGAUGUUUCACAGCCAGGCAGUUUAUGGUAUAAACAGACUUGACUCCACUGGUAAGAAACAAUUAACUUAAGUAUCUCUGGAACAUUUCUCUAUCAGUAAACUGAGAAGACUCCCAAUAGAUCAUUUCCGAAUUCCUCUGAGACCUUCAAGACUGGGUUGGAUCAGUUAGUGAAAUUUUUUUUAACUUUUUUUUAAAAUAUACCUUUAUUUUAUUUAUUCAUUUUUAUGUGGUGCUGAGGAUCAAACGCAGUGCCCUGCACAUGCCAGGUGAGUGCUCUACCACUCAGCCCCAGCCCCAGCCCCAGUUAGUGAAAUUUUAAUCGUUUUCCCUUAGACAUUCAUUUAUAAAGACUCUUGGUCAAAAUUUAUUGCCAUUUCUAUGUUUAUCAUUGUAUGUAAGAACUUCCAACUUGCUUGAUUUCAUGGUCUUUUUAAAGUAAUAUUUUAAUUGCUCUAAACCUCAACCUUGAAACAUUCUGGCUCCAGAGAAUUUUUGAAGAUUUUAGAUUAAACAAUCAAUUGUGUGUGUGUGUGUGUGUGUGUGCAUGUGUGUGUGUGUAUAAAGGAGAUUUGGAGCAGUGUGGAUGGAGAAGGAGGACUAGGCAAUCUCUGUAUUUGGUGAUUCUUCAGAUAAAAAUAGACAUUCUGACAUCUAUAUUAAUAAGUUAUGAUAAAAUUUUAGUCAAUGGAAAUAUUUAACAUCAAAGUGUUUUUUAAUUAUUUUAGUAAGAAAAUAUACUAUCCAUUCUUUUUUUUGCCAUCACACCCAUCUUAAUUAUUGUGAUAAUGUACAAAAUAUAAAGUUUGCUAUUUUAACACAUCUUUAAUAUGUAUAGUUCCAUGGCAUUAAGUACAUUUAUAGAUGGGUAUGGUUAUAUACCAACAAAAUUAUGUUUGUAUACAUCAGAGCUAUAUCCUCAGCCCUGAUUUACUACCAAAUCUUAAGGUAAUCAUAUGAUCCUUUUUAUAUUGUCCAGAGUCAUUCAUUUUGUUAUAGAAAUCAUGUUCUCAAUGUCUAAUAUCUAUUUAUAUAACAAACCAAGUUGACAUUAAGGAACUUGACAUUCUAAUUUGACACUAAAAUGCUCCGGGUUCUCAAUGUAUAUUUUAGUCUUCUUUGGAACAUAAGAUAUAUUUUUUUUCCUUUUUUUAAUUAAAAAUUUUCUUUGUUUUAAUUAGUUAUUUAUGACAGUAGAAUGCAUUUAUGCACUUUGAUAUAUCAUACAUAGAUGGGAUAUAACGUCUCAUUUUUCUGAGUGUACAUGUUGCAGAAUCAUAUUGGUCAUGCAGUCACAUAUAUGCAUACAAUAAUAAUGUCUGUUUUAUCUAUUUUAUUCUAUUGUCUUUCCUAUCCCCACAUCCCCUCCCCUCCUCUCCCAUCACUUCCCUCUACCUAAUCUAAGGUAAUGCUAUUCUUCUCUAGUACCCCCCACCUUAUUGUAAAUUAGCAUCCACAUAUUAGAGAAAAUAUUUGGCUUUUGGUUUUGUGAGAUUGGCUUAUUUUGCUUAGCAUGAUAUUCUCCAACUCCAUCCAUUUACUGGCAAAUGCUAUAAUUUCACUCUUCUUUAAAGCUGAGUAAUAUUCCAUUGAGUAUAUAUACUACAUUUUCUUUAUCCAUUCAUCUACUGAGGGAUACAUAGGUUGGUUAGCUACUGUGAAUUGAGCUGCUAUAGACAUUGAUGUGGCUGCAUCACUGCAGUAUGCUGAUUUUAAGUUCUUUGGGUAUAAACCCAGGAGGAAUGGCUGGGUCAAAUGGUAGUUCCAAUCCCAGUUUUCUGAAGAAUCUCCAAAUUGCUUUCCAUAGAUGUUGCACCAAUUUGCAGUCCCACCAGCAAUGUAUGAGUGUACCUUUUUUCCCACAUCCUCACCAACAUUUAUUAUUUCCUGUAUUCUUGAUGAUUGCCAUUCUGACAGGAAUGAGAUGAAAUCUUCGUGUAGUUUUGAUUUGCAUUUCUCUAAUUGCUAGAGAUGUUGAAUACUUUUUCAUAUAUUUGUUGAUUGAUUGUAUUUCUUCUGUGAAAUGUCUGUUCAGUUCUUUAGCCCUUUAUUGAUUAAGUUAUUUAUUUUUUUGGUGGUAAGUUUUUGAGUUCUUUAUAUAUCCUAGAGAUUAAUGCUUUAUCAGAGGUGCCUGUGAUAAAGAUUUUCUCCCAGUCUGUAGGCUCUCCUCAUGUUAUUGUUUCCUUUGCUGAGAAGAAACUUUUUAAUUUGAAUCCAUGCCAUUUAUUGAUUCUUAAUUUUAUUUCUUGCACUUUAGGAGUCUUGUUAAGGAAGUCAGAUCCUAGGCUGACAUGGUGAAGAUUUGGGCCUAUUUUUUCUUCUAUUAGGUGCAGGGUCUCUGUUCUAGUGCCUAAGUCUUUGAUCCACUUUGAGUUGACUUUUGUACAGGGUGAGAAAUAGAGGUUUAAUUUCAUUUUGCUACGUAUGGAUUUCCAGUUUUGCCAGCACCAUUUGUUGAAUAAGCUAUCUUUUCUCCAAAGGUUUUUGGCACCUUUGUCUAGUAUGACAUAACUAUUAUUUAUAUGGGUUUGUCUCUGUGUCCUCUAUUCUGUACCAUUGGUCUACAAGUCUAUGUUGGUGCCAAUACCAUGCCAUUUUUGUUAUUAUAGCUCUGUAGUAUAGUUUAAAGUAAGGUAUUGUGAUGCCUCCUGUUUCACUUUUCUAAGGAUUGCGUUAGCUAUUCUGGGUCUCUUAUUUUUUCCAAAUAAAUUUAAUGAUUGCUUUUUCUAUUUGAAUGAAGAAUGUCAUUGGGAUUUUAAUAGGAUGCAUUAAAUCUGUGUAAUGCUUUUGGGUAAUAUGGCCAUUUUGACAAUAUUAAUUCUGCCUAUCCAGGAACAUAAGAGAUCUUUCCAUCUUCUGAGGUUUUCUUCAAUUUCUUUCUUUAGUGUUCUGUAGUUUUUAUUGUAGAGGACUUUCACCUCUUUUGUUAGAUUGAUUCCCAGGUUGUUGUUGUUUUUUGUUUUGUUUUGUUUGAGGCUAUCGUGAAUGGGGUAGUUUUCUAAUUUCUCUUCCAGUGGAUUCAUCACUGAUGUAUAGGAAUGCAUUUGAUUUAUGGGUGUUGCUUUUAUAUCCUGCUACUUUGCUGAAUUCAUUUAUUAGUUCUAAAAGUUUUCUGGUGGAAUUUUUUGGAUCUUCUAGAUAUAGAAUCAUGUCAACAGCAAAUACUGAUAGUUUGAGUUCUUCUUUACCUAUUUGUAUCCCUUUAAUUUUUUUCUUUUAUCUAAUUGCUCUGGCUAGAGUUUCAAGGAUGAUGUUGAAUAGAAGUGGUAAAAGAGGACAUCCUUAUCUUGUUCCAGUUUUUAGAGGGAAUACUUUCAAUUUUUCUCCAUUUAGAAUGAUGCUGGCCUUGGGCUUAGAAUAUGUAGCUUUUACAAUGUUGAGGUAUGUUCCUACGAUCCCUAGUUUUUCUAGUGUUUUGAACAUGAAUGUGUGCUGUAUUUUGUCAAAUGCUUUUUCUGCUUCUAUUGAGAUGAUCAUUAUGAUUUUUGUUUUUAAGUCUAUUAAUAUGAUGAAUUACAUUUAUUGAUUUCUGAAUGUUGAACCAUUCUGAAUGUUGAACCAUCCUGGGAUAAACUCCACUUGGAUCAUGGUAUGCUAUCUUUUUAAUAUAUUUUUGCAUUUGCCAGAAUUUUAUUGAGAAUUUUUGCAUCUAUGUCCUUCAGGAAUAUUGGUCUGAAGUUUUCUUUCCUUGAUGUGUCUUUGUCUGGUUUUGGUAUCAGGGUGAUCAUAGAAUGAGUUUGGAAGGGUUCCUUCCUUUUCUAUUUCAUGGAAUACUUUAAGGAGUAUUGGUGUUAAUUCUUCUUUGAAAAUCUUGUAGAACUCGGCUGAGAAUCCAUCUGGUCCUGGGCUUUUCUUGGUUGGUAGGCUUUUGAUGGCAUUUUCUAUUUCAUUACUUGAAAUUGAUCUGUUUAAAUCGUUAUGACCUCAUUCAGUUUGGAUAGGUCAUAUGACUCUAGAAAUUUGUCGAUGUCUUCAUAUUUUCUAUUAUUAGAGUAUAAAUUUUCAAAAUAGUUUUUAAUUAUCAUCUGUAUUUCAGAUAUGUCUGUUUUGAUAUUUCCUUCUUCAUCUUGUAUUUUAGUAAUUUGAGUUUUCUCUCUUUUUCUUUGUGUUAGCAUGGCCAGGGAUUUAUCUAUUUUAUUUAUUUUUUUUCAAAGAACCAACUUUUUUUGUCAAUUUUUUUUCAUAGCUUCUUUUGUUUGGAUUUCAUUGAUUUCAGCUCUGAUUUUAAUUAUUUCCUGUCUUCUACUACUUUUGCUGUUGAUUUGUUCUUUUUCUAGGGCUUAGACACAUAGUGUUAGGUCAUUUAUUUGUUGACUUUUUAUUCUUUUAAUAAAUACACUCAAUGCAAUAAACUCUCCUCUUAGUGCUACCUUCAUAGUGUCCCAGAGAUUUUGACUUGUUGUAUCAGUGUUCUUAUUUACCUCUAAGAAUUUUUUUAUUUCAUCCUUGAUUUCUUCUACUAUCCACUCAUCAUUUAAUUGUGUAUUAUUUAGUCUCCAUUUGUUACAGUAGCUUGUAUUUUUUAUUUUAUCAUUGAUUUCUAAUUUCAUUCCAUUGUGGUCUGAUAGAAUGCAAGAUAUUAUCUCUGUUUUUUUUUUGUAUUUACUAAGAGUUGCUUUGUGGCAUAAGAUAUUGUCUAUUUUAGAGAAGGAGCCAUGUGAGGCUGAGAAGAAAGUAUAUUUUCUUAUUGAUGGAUGAAAUAUUCUAUAUAUGUCUGUUAAGUCUAAAUUAUUGAUUGUAUUAUUUAGUUCUAUAGUUUCCUUGUUUAGUUUUUGUUUAGAAGAUCUGUCCAGUAGUGAGAGAGAUGUGCUAAAGUCACCCAGUAUUAUUGUAUUGUGGUCUAAUUGACUCUUAAAAUCAAGAAGGGUUUGUUUGACGUACAUAGAUACUCCAUUGUUUGGGGCAUAAAUAUUUAUAAUUGUUAUAUCCUGCUUAUAUAAUGAAGGGAAUUCUACAUACUUUACAGGAAGAAGCAAAGAAGACUAAUUGAAACUAAACUUCAGAUAAAAUAGACUCUACUCUUACCUUUGGGGACGAAUAAAUGGGUUAUGUAUACUCACUAUCCAAAAAAGGGUAGUCGGACACCUACAGAAACGGGUAUUCCACUUAGUGAACUUCCGUCGUAUAAUAACCCAGAACGAAAAAUUAGGUUAAAAAGUUACAGAAAACUAACUAUACAAAUCCAACAAUUGUAAGUUCAAAUAAUAACUCUAUACUAAACAUAAGGGACAGUAAAACUAUAUAAAGACCAAAAACUAAAUCACAUCUAGGAGAGAAACGACCAAAAGUGAAAAAAAAAAGUGAAGUAAAGUACCUUAUAAGACAAAACUUACGAGACAUUACAUCCAAAAGAUCAAUACUUAAGAAAAGUAAAAACAAAUAGUACCUAAAAAUUUUAAAUUAGAAGUUUAGACUUUGAAUGAAAACGACCUAUAUUUUAAGAACUAACCGUAGGUACAAGAAAGUCUCGAACUUUAUAUAAUAAGGAGUUUCGAUCCUUAUUAUAUAAGGAUCGAAACUCCCAGACCCAACUCUUUAGUUAACUUUAGACUUAACCAAAGGGGGAUAUGCAUUAAACUAAAAGAAAGGGAAGAGUAUCGGAAAUUCUAAAAUAGAAAUAAGACAACAAUCAGUAAGAGUAAUAUUACACAGAUCCACACCCCAAAAAACAUUAACACAUGUAAACAUGAGAACAUAAACUGAAAGGUAAGAUAAGAAAUCCAAACCCUUUAAAAGACGAUAAAAUAGUAACUUUUCUAACACGUAAGGAAACCAAACAUAGAGACGAGGAAGUAGAUAAGACUAUUGAGAAUUUAAACCAGAAAAGUAUAAUAGGGUAUUAAGAACCUACAAGACAAGUACCAAAGCAUGGUAGAAGAGACGUACCAGUUGAGAUGAAAGUUCUAAUAUAAAACAGAAGUAACAGACUGUAAGACAGAAGGUUCACCAGAUUAGACAACAACUACGAAAGAUAACUUAAAUAUUAAAACCAAUGACUAAGGAAGUAAAACUUCUAAAGACGAAAAAAAGGGGUGUUAGAGAUUGAGAAAUAACUUCACCAGAAAGUGAAGGAUAUAAAAAAGAAACUAAAGUGAGGAAUAUGAUAAGAAAUGAAGUGUGUAGUUAAAUUGAUACAUGAUAGCCUUGAGGAAGAACCUCUAAAAAAAGAUGACACAAUACUCACCAAAGACAACGACUUCGUAGAACCAAACAAACCCCGUGAAAUAAGGGAACAAAAAAGUACAACAAUCACACAAAAGGGUAGAUCUUCAUACCUAGAUGUCACGACCCCGACAUCGAGUCACCAUCUCACGAACGGAACCCGCUCCUCCGUGAACCAAACUAGGAGUCGUGGUGUAUUUUUUAUGUGUUUAUUUUAUUUCCGUACGACAGGUAGAUGUUGAUGUUUUUUCAUACCUAGAUUCAGUCCUAUUUAAGAUGGGAUAUCUGGAUACCACAGGGACUUCCAAAGAUCGUGAAGCGGAAAUGACCACUCUGGUCAUAGUUGUCGUGGGUCACAUUUGUUAUAUAUCGGAAUUAGAAUUGUCGAGGGUGAUUCCACAGACGACGAAGAGCAUAAUUUGGUUUUACUACUCAUGUUAGUCUUUUAAACAAUUUUGCCAAAUCUUAAAGUUUACCACCUACUCUGUUGUCUCCAUCAUGUCAUACGCUAUAAACGUUCCCUCCUUCUCUCUUUGAUCUUUAUUUUUAAGUGUCCUUCCCACCUUCUCCUCUACUGUCUCUAACUGACAAGCAACCUCGUUACAACCUUUCUUUUGUCUGUUCUCUCCCCUUCUUAUAUUUGUUUCUCUUUUUUAAUAUCUGUGUGCUUAUGUUGUCUUUACGUUUUGUGGUAAGUAUAUAGUAACAGGAGGUGUGUGACUACGUAUUUUUUGUAGGACAAGGUUUAUACCGUCUCUCUAAUCGUUUAGCUUUUUAUUUUAUUUUAUUUAGAACGACCUUACAACUUGACAGAGACAGUCGCAAGUGGUCAAAGAGUCGGGACAGAGACUACAGAGAACCCUAGUGGCUUGGGUCUAGUCGGGAGUGUUUGGGUAAAGAAAUAGGGUGGUUAGACCCGAAGUCUAUGGAGUCCGAGUCGGUCCGACGUCAGGGUUCUAGAGUUACGACGAGGAUGAACGUCUCUCUGGUGGUCCCUAUGUGAGUACGUUUCCUCGUUAGGACUCUACGUCGUCGUUCUAUUGUCGGUGGUCCACUCCCCACAGAAAUACCUCAGGCUCCUCCAAAUCCACAGGCACCCCCAUACUGGACCUGCAAGUCCCUGCUGGAGUCCCCAGACUCCAGGUUACCACUCAUGUGGUGGUAAACCUGCUGGCACCCGGGCCCCAGGCCCUGGCUGGUGUCCCUUAAUGGGUGCAACCAACCUGGAGUAUCCCCAGAAGCAGUCCUCUAGGCUGGGGUAGCAGCGAUAUUGGCGGUGGUUGUUGGCAGCAGGCAGUGCAGCUGCAGGGGCACAUGAAGUUGCAACUGUUGGGACAGCAUCACCAGGCCAUCUCCGGGGGUCAACAGCAGUGUCGGCUCUAGUUGCAUCUGAGCCAACAGUGUCUUCUGUGGCAGCAACACCCAAAAAGAAGACCUCCAGGCGACCUCAGGCUGGCAGCAACAGAAUCAGAAGCAGCACCAAUGGGGUAGGGGCGCAGGCGGCAGUUGAUUUCUGGUUCAGCAGCAGAGACCAUGGAGGUAGUAGCUUCAGAAGUAGCCUUAGAGGUAACCGAGGCAACCAAGUCCGGCCUCCGCAGCAGCGGUGGCAGUGGCACCUGCAACCGCGGCACCUACCAGAUGUAUUUUCUUUUUAAAAUAUAAAUUAUUUCCCCUUAUGGACCAAAAGAUCAUGAAUUGCAAGCUAUAUUGUCAUAAUGGGUGCAACUACGUGCAACCAUCCUGCAGUAUCCCCAGAAGCAGUUUAUGCUUGGGUUUUUAAUACACUGACUUUUUUUUUUCCCCCCAAAUCAAUUGGGACUUAACUAUAGCUCUUAAUCCAGCGAUUGGCAGUCUUAAGACUCUAUGUGUUAAGAAGGUCAUUUUCUAGCAAGGACUUCUCUUAACUCCCCUAAAUAGGAUAUAGGUUUCUAAUUUAGUAUUUUCUUUAUAUAUUUGUGUUGCUCAUGGGACAUGUUACAGGACGUCUCUGCUUUGAUAUUGUUUUUCCUGCUUCACAGGAUUCAAAACACAGGGUGGAGAUUUUUCAAUUUUGAUUUACUUUUAAUAUUGGUCAAUUUUCCAAAGAUAAAAGCCCAGCAUUCUUUCAUUCACACUGAAUCUAAUCCAUGAGAAACAGAUGUAUCACAGGAUUUCCUUCCUCCCUUCUUAACAGAGAAAGGAAGGUGGCACUUCUGUCAGAUUUAAUCUCUAAGUUUAUUUUUUCUCUUUUGAACCAGUUGUGCUGAGCUGCUUCAUGGCUCUGAGUAUUGACUCCAAGAAUAUCAAACUUCUCCUUUGUAACCCUAAUAUUGUGAUUUUAAAGAAAGAUUUUCUAGAUGUUUGGUAUAAAAGAGGAUUUCUAAUGGCAUUGGAACUGUCCUUGAAUCACCUGAAACAAUAACAUCAAAGGAAUACAUACACAAGUUUUAUAAAAUUCUAGAAUGUUUAGACUAAAAACAAUUCCAGGAGAGACCUGGAAUUCUAGGUCUCUUCACAUACUCCUAGGCUAGCUUCACAUACAGAUUUCAUUUCCCAGAAUUUUCCCAAAGAGGCUUGGGAAAUCUCAGCCCAGGUUCCCUAGAAAUUAGGCAAAUGUUCCCAAGGGCAAAGUGGCUUCAGCUCUCCACUUUACCUUUAUGGCUAAUUUUCACUUAGAUUUUGUCUUGCAAUUCCUUGCAAUCCUGUCAGUUCUUUAAAUGUCAUACUACCAGAACCAGAAUACCAUUCAUUCUUAGGGAUAAAGGUGGAUGGAGGGCUGUUUUUUUUUUUUUAAAUAAUAAGCAAUUCAAACACAAAAUAAAUGCAAAAAUAACAUGGUUGACAUCAGUGUACCCACUUGCAUCAAUUACAUGCUAAUUUUUUCUUACUUAAUUAGAUUCCAGUAUCUCUUUCAGACAGACAGUUGAUUUUUUUUCACUUUUUCAUCAAUAUAAAUACCUUUCUUUGUAUAUGUUGCCUUGGGAACAUGUGCAAAAUGGGCAACAAAAAAGAAGGGAUGAGUGGUAGGCUAUAUUUGAAACAUUUUUUUUAAUUCACAUCAUGGAAUACUCUAUAGAGUUUAAAGGAGCUAAAUCUACACAUAUCAAACAGGAAAACCUCAGAAAUACAAUGAAUGAUAAAACAAGUUAGAAAAAUAUACAGAAAAAUACCAUUCUAUAAAAAUUUUAGAUACACAAAACAAUAAUAUAUAUUGUUUAUGAUUGUAUACAUUUGUAGUAAAAAUAGUAAAACCAUCCUUAGGGUACUGGUAGAGUUGGGAACUCAAUUCAAACCAAAGCUUCAUUCCAUUCUACCAUGUGGCCACUGUCUCUGUGUCGAGUGGGUGUCCCCAGGUGCUGGGUCUUCCUUGUGUCCACACUUGCAACUCGACAGUUUGAGAUUUGCUUUUCUCAUGGAACUUCAUUGGUUCUCCUAGAGGUCAUUUUCCCCCACCCCUUCAAUUUAGUACUUUGAAGCUAUAAUAUAGUACAUGCCCUGGUAAAACCUUCUCAUUAUCCUUAAUAUGCUUGGUCUUGUGCUAUAUACUGUGCUAGAUUCUUCAAUCUCAAAUCCAUUCUUUUGAAAUAAGAUCUUAGAUUGUUCUUUUGUUGAUUAGUUUGACUAUUGAAACCUGGUUCUAAAGUUUACUGCUCUGCCUUACUGCCUCUAAAGCCCACCUACUUCAAGGAUUGCGGUUCAUAUAACUGGAUCCAAAAAUGUUGCCUAUUUUUUUUUUUAAGUCAGUAAAAUGGCACCAGCUACUGCUAUGCUUAUAGAAGAGAUAAAGGAGACUUCUUCAGGACUUUUCCCUGUACCCUCCAAAGAGGAACUUAUUGUAAAAGAAUCUCACAACAUUUCUGCUCUUAAAAAUCAUUAAAAUAGAUUAGAAAAUUAUCAGUAUAAAGUGGUAUGGCAUAAUGUAGCUAGAAUUCAAAAUUCUUUUGAAUUUUAAGAUUCUAAAAUUCAAGUUUUUGCUUAAAAGGGAUUGAAGAAUGUUUAUAUCCUAGAUGGAUAAUAUAAGACAAUUUUAUUUGUAGUGUGUGCUUUAAUAGCUAUUUACUGCUAACACUGGUUUAUCUAAGCAUGUUAACAUAUAAAGUUUCAUAAAUCAUGUUCUGCAUAGUAAUAUUAGUGAGCACUAAAAAAUUUUAUGGCCUUCUAUUUUCAGGUGUAAACUUCCUGCUUUGGGGCAAUUUGCCAGAGAUAGAAGAAAGUACAGAUGAAGAUGUGUUAGAUAUCUCAGCAGAGGAGUGUAUUCGAUGAAUGGAAUUAUGACAUAUGUGUAAUUUUUUUUCAUAUUUAAAAUAUGUUAAUGGAUCAACUUUAAAACUGUAGUGAGGAUUUACUACUGAUUUUCUCUCCUCCUCCCUUUCUUUCUUCUCUUUUAAAACAAAAAGGGGCAUUUGUUGAUUUAUUUAUUCGCUAUCUCAAAUUAAUUACCUCAGUUUAAUUUAAGCCAAUGAAGUUAUUCUUUCCUUCUACUUUUACUUCUUCCUCUCCCCUACUACUUCUGUCUGGUAUAAGUGUAUUCUUAAUUUCAGUUAAAAGAUUCUUUUUACAUGUCACCCAGCUACCUCCUGAUCUAAAGAAGUUUUUCUUACAGCUUGAUGCCAGAUAUCAUUGAUUUUUACAUUCCUGACUAAAGGGCAUUAGUAUCCACUCAUAUCAAAUACACAUGUAUCAGACUCAUCUAAGUAUUAAGAGGGAGUUUAAAAAAAGCAAGCUAUUAGGUUUCCAUGAGUACUGGUUAGCAUAUGUGAUAACUGUUUUAAUGUGAAGCGAAACUUAUGAAUCAGCUUAUAGAAUAAAUUAAAACUUUAAAAUAUAUGGAAAAAUCUUUUUGAUCCGUUGGCAUGUUGUUAGAUAAAUGAGUUUUUAAAAAAAUUAUCAAUAUAUACUGUUUACUGAUGUUAUUUAUUUACAUUCUCCUAAAGCCAUUAUGGAUAUUGUAUUAUGAAAGCCAGAUAAACUAAACCUUAGUCUUUAUGUUUUCCUAUUCCCUAGGGCUUUUUCUAUGAAUAGCAAAUUUUAGAUGAGUAGUGUUUGUCCAAACCCUAAUAUGGAAAGAAGCUUAAGCCACUGUAUAUUAUAAAGAAUUUUUUUUCAUUGUUUGUUGUUUUUAAAAAUUGUAUUCAGAGCCACACAGAAAUAGGAAACUGGGAUAAUGUGGAUUCUGGUUUUAUGUAAAGCUAAAAUUAAUGUGUCUCCUUAACUAAUAUCUUAGUUGCAGGAAUUUUGUCAAUAAUGGUACCAAAGAAGACUUAAUUGGAGUUUUGUAAAUAAAGUUGGUUCUAAAAAUGACCA